CCCUUAGAUGUUCUGGGCCGCACGCGCGCUACACUGAAGGGAUCAGCGUGUUUUCCCUUCCCGAGAGGGACGGGUAACCCGCUGAACCCCCUUCGUGGUAGGGAUCGGAGCUUGUAAUUGUUCUCCGUGAACCAGGAAUUCCCAGUAAGCGCAAGUCAUAAGCUUGCGUUGAUUACGUCCCUGCCCUUUGUACACACCGCCCGUCGCUACUACCGAUUGAACGUUUUAGUGAGGUAUUUGGACUGGGCCUUGGGAGGUUUCGGCCUCCCUUGUUGCUCGGAAAGACUCCCAAACUUGAGCGUUUAGAGGAAGUAAAAGUCGUAACA
rnacentral:rRNA from 1 species